CUGUGUUUGAGUUCAACAGAUAGCGAGACGACAGGCAAGAUUUAACACCUUAUAACCACUCCCUCACCAAUUAAAUCUAAAGUCACAGUUGCGGACACUGAGAUCUAAACACGAAAACUACAUGGAGACCUUGAAAGUUUGUAUGCUGGUCGUGAUCUUCUUAUUGGCUGUGGGUGAAUGCCGGAUCGAUGAGAAAAACCAACCUGAAAAAAAACAAUUGUACAAUGACCAAAACAUCCAAGAUAAGCCAUUAUCGACCAGAAACACGGAUCCUUACAACAUUUGCAG